AUGGCCUGGACCCCACUCCUCCUCCUCACCCUCCUCCUUUACUCCACAGGGUCCCUCUCUCAGCCUGUGCUGACUCAACCAUCCUCUGCAUCUGCCUCCCUGGGAGCCUCAGUCAAGCUCACCUGCACUUUGAGCAGUGAAUACAGCAACUACAACAUUGCAUGGCAUCAGCAGCAGCAGGGGAAGGCUCCUCGAUACCUGAUGUAUGUUUCCAGUGAUGGAAGCCACAGCAAUGCAGAUGGGAUCUCCAGUCGCUUCUCGGGCUCCAGCUCGGGAGCUGAUCGCUACUUGACCAUUUCUAAUGUCCACUCUGAGGAUGAGGCUAAUUAUUACUGUCAGACCUGGGGCAGUGGUAUUUAUCACAGUGACAUAGACAGAUGA